UACGGAGGAUGCGAGCGUUAUCCGGAUUUAUUGGGUUUAAAGGGUGCGUAGGCGGGCUUUUAAGUCAGCGGUAAAAAUUCGGGGCUCAACCCAGUCCGGCCGUUGAAACUGGGGGUCUUGAGUGGGCGAGAAGAAGGCGGAAUGCGUGGUGUAGCGGUGAAAUGCAUAGAUAUCACGCAGAACCCCGAUUGCGAAGGCAGCCUUCCGGCGCCCUACUGACGCUGAGGCACGAAAGUGCGGGGAUCGAACAGG
rnacentral:rRNA from 1 species